rnacentral:rRNA from 1 species
UGGGGAAUAUUGCACAAUGGGCGCAAGCCUGAUGCAGCCAUGCCGCGUGUGUGAAGAAGGCCUUCGGGUUGUAAAGCACUUUCAGCGAGGAGGAAGGGUAGUGUGUUAAUAGCACAUUGCAUUGACGUUACUCGCAGAAGAAGCACCGGCUAACUCCGUGCCAGCAGCCGCGGUAAUACGGAGGGUGCAAGCGUUAAUCGGAAUUACUGGGCGUAAAGCGCACGCAGGCGGUUUGUUAAGUCAGAUGUGAAAUCCCCGCGCUUAACGUGGGAACUGCAUUUGAAACUGGCAAGCUAGAGUCUUGUAGAGGGGGGUGAGAAUUCCAGGUGUAGCGGUGAAAUGCGUAGAGAUCUGGAGGAAUACCGGUGGCGAAAGCGGCCCCCCUGGACAAAGACUGACGCUCAGGUGCGAAAGCGU